rnacentral:rRNA from 2 species
UCCGUAGGUGAACCUGCGGAAGGAUCACUAUUGAUUAAAUCGAGAGUGUCUUCAUUGACCUCUCACCCUUCACAUCCACAUACACCUGUGCACCGUUUGGCUCUUUUAAAAGACGCAAGUCUGCAAAGAGAGUCAUCAAUUUUAUACAUACCCCAGUCUUAUGAAUGUAACAGUUUUAAUAAACAUAAUAAAACUUUUAACAACGGAUCUCUUGGUUCUCGCAUCGAUGAAGAACGCAGCGAAAUGCGAUAAGUAAUGUGAAUUGCAGAAUUCAGUGAAUCAUCGAAUCUUUGAACGCACCUUGCGCUCCUUGGUAUUCCGAGGAGCAUGCCUGUUUGAGUGUCAUGAAACUCUCAACCUUCAACUUUUUUAUUAAGGCUGAAGGCUUGGACUUGAGCGCUGCUGGUUUUCACUAACCGGCUCGCUUGAAAUGAAUUAGCAGAUCCUUUUUGUAAUCGGUUCCACUCGACGUGAUAAGUAUUUCGCCGAGGACAUAUGAAAGUAUGGCCGAGAUAAGAGAAGUCUUUUAGAUCCGCUUCUAAUUCUUAGAUCAAGCUUGCUUGACUAAACCCCAUUUUAUGAUCUGGCCUCAAAUCAGGUAGGACUACCCGCUGAACUUAAGCAUAUCAAUAAGCGGAGGA